rnacentral:misc_RNA from 1 species
UGCUUAUCAAUCUUCUGUGUUCGUCAUCGAAGAUCAGUUGAUUUAAAUGAGUCUGCAAAGCCAGAGGGCUUUGCAGGAAUACUUGAUUGCGUCUGAGAGUAGGAUAUAUCGUUAAACAAUGAGGAAGAGCUUUCAUCAGCUUGCCAUCUUUGCAGAGCUUGUGGAAGGCUCAUAUGGAGGUCAAUGCUUCACGGCUAGCAGGUCUCCAUUGCUCUACAAGAGGCCCCAACACAUUAACUGCAUGCCCCAUGUCAGGUCUUUGGUAUGGCUCACGAGAAGUGCAAUGUCCUGCUAGCUCAGCCACUCUGUAAAUGCUGGCUAAUGUCUCCUCAUCCAAUUCGAUAGUCUGAUCAAUCACCUUUGGAAUGCUCUCUUUAUUGAUUAGGACCCUGCGAAACCAUGUAACCAGAUGGGCCUUCUCAUCUGGCAAGGUGUCAUCCAGAGCUUUUCUGCCAGUUAUGAUCUCCAUCAAAACAACUCCAAAGGCAUAAACAUCCACCUUUGUUGUCACCCUUCCAGUAGCAGCA